UUGAAUGGGUUAAAAUUAAAAAACUUAUUUCAAACUCAUUAAAAACAUCAUCAUCAUCACUUUCUCUCUCCUCUCCAUGACUCCAUUAUCUCUUAAAAAUUUCCCACCGGAAGUCCUGGAGCAGUCAGCAAUAGCUAUCCGGCCGUCCGACCGCCCCGCGCCUCCAUCGCCGCCCCCUAAUUCUGCCUCUGCCUGCUACCGGGGGCAGAUGCCCCCACCCGCCC
rnacentral:lncRNA from 1 species